rnacentral:rRNA from 1 species
GACGAACGCUGGCGGCGUGAUUAACACAUGCAAGUCGAGCGGUAAGGCCCUUUCGGGGGUACACGAGCGGCGAACGGGUGAGUAACACGUGGGUGACCUGCCCUCAGCUCUGGGAUAAGCCUGGGAAACCGGGUCUAAUACUGGAUAUGACUCCAUGACGCAUGUUGUGGGGCGGAAAGCCUUGGUGCGGCUGAGGAUGGGCCCGCGGCCUAUCAGCUUGUUGGUGGGGUGANGGCCUACCAAGGCGACGACGGGUAGCCGGCCUGAGAGGG